rnacentral:lncRNA from 10 species
AACUGCCCCAUUUUAGUAUUGCAUUGCAAAAGAACAAACACAACAUUUUUAAAUACUUUUAGUUCACAUUUUUUAAUGUUUAAAAACUAUGUUAACAGAGCAGUUAUAGAACAGAACUUCUUAUAUUUCUUUAUUUACACCACACUCUGAAAAAAAAAACCCAGUUCUAUUUGAUUAACUAUGAAUAGCAAAGUUUUGUGACUUGUGACUCACUUAAAUCACCCAUCUGAAAUUCAUUUACAAGGUUUUUACAUUAAUAAAACAGUAGUGUGGUACAUGUAUUGGACUCAGAUGAAGUCUAAAGUACACUGGACUCUAGAGAGUGGAUUACAUACCAACGACCAAGAUUCAAGUGUUUGGGGAAAAAAAUACCUUAGACAGUCUAUGUUGGCGUCAACACUAAAAUAAAAGGCAAACAUGCAGGACUUUCAAAGCUUGAUUAGAUAAUGGUUCUUUGUUUUCUUUCCUUCAAAUUUGUGCUCAUAAUUAAUAUUCAGGUUCCCUCUCCCCGCUUUCAUAGAUCCCAAAGUUUGAGAAAUGCAGCAAUUCAAUUGUGAAAAAAACAUUCUUCUCCCCAGCUUCUGUUUUCAUAUGUACUGUGUAGUGGUAUCAGUGUUAAAAAUGGAAGAUCAUUAUGAAGAAACAAUUUGUCAUUUGGGUAUAUCUGUUUCUAUAGGACAAGGAUUUGUGUCUAAAUAUUCCUUACUUGUAUCUCAGAGGACUAUCUGUUAAAUAAUUGAUCUUAAUGCCAGCAUAAGAAAUCAAGGGAACUAUUUCUCAGACAUUUCUUUCUCUAAAUUAAGUAGGGUUUCAGGUUCCAAGUUUACAUUGAGAGAACUAUGUUACCUGGGAGAGAAUGUAAAUUUUUCUAAUUCCCAAACAAAACCACUAAUUUCUAGGAAACAUUUAUUGUUUAUAUGCAGAUCCUAGAGACUUCUAUUUCAGUGCAGAUCAACAACUUCAAAAAUAUACAGCCUCCUAUUUAUUUACAAUAAUAUUUACAUACAAAUGAAGUAUUUCCUGCAAUAAGCCUCAGCUGCAUAGAUUCUUCCUUUAAAAACGUAAAUUUGAGCCUGUAUACAGAUGGGCCCAGUUUCAUAGCCCUUCCUUAGAUAAAAGCCUAAAGAAGGAAAAUGUCUGCACCUUGUGAACUUUACAUAUUUUGCAAGAACUUUCUCUUUGAGAUUUAGUGAUAGUUUUUAGUUUUUACACCCCCUAUAAGCCUAAAGCCAUUUAAAUUGAUAAACUGAGAGAGACUAAUAGAUUUUGCUCUAAGGUAUAAAAUCCAUUAUCUGAUCAUAUUCCUGACCUCCCCCCGACUCCAACUAAAUGUGCCAUAGUCCAACACUGUGCCUCACUGAAUUGGAACUCAGUAUUUCAUUCUUUUGAGAGCAGUUUGUAGCUCCUUAAGCAGAGCAGACCUUUCAGUAGAGAAUUCGCUUUAAAAGGAGGACAGGAUUAUCACCACACGAUUAACACAAACACUGGAGAACUUCUGACACAAAUUCAGUAUUUCUUCUAAGUCUGCAUUUACAAAGGGUCUUUUAUUUUAAUUUCUUUCACAACUGCCUCGCCCCAACCAAAGCCUCACUUUCAUUUCCUCACAGCUUUAAAAAAUAAAAUAUUAUCAUGCCUCAGCCCGAGGUAACACCGAGUGCAGGCAGCCUGUGUUUAGGAAUUUGCACCUGCGCUGCUAUUUUCAACGAGAAGGGGAUAACCAGGUGGCAGCGCUGGAUUCACUCACUUUCUUGCCAUUGCAGAGACCCCUGCCGCCAGGCUCCUUUCCUCCCCUCCCUAAAGCCUGGCUCCUGUAUGUUGCACCAUGAGUCCUAGGAAUCAUCUGGUGAGGGAGGACUAAUGGGAAGUAAAAGGGAGACUCAUUGGCUUAGGGUGGUUCUCAAACUUGAUGCGCUUUAGAAUCAUUUGCUGAGUCCCUCCCUGAGAGCUUCUGACUUCACCAUGUCUGGGAGGGGGCUGAGAAUCUGCAUUCUAAUGAGGUCCCCGAUGAUGCUGAUGCUACUGGUCUAGGGGCCACACUUUGAGAACCACUGGCUUAGAGGCAUGAAUCAAGCUCUAGAAAGCAGUCAGUUCCAGGGUAAUAGUCUUAGGUGCUCGCCGAAGCACUGAGGAAUCUUACCACAACCCUGUGUCCACCACAAGCCCUAUCACCAUCACCCAUCUGGGUGCUUCUUUUUCUCAACAGGGUCUGUAACUGUAAAAAAGGAAAGUGGGUGGAGAGGUUUUUUUUUCCCCCUUUUUUCUUGUUUUCUAACCUCCCAGCUUAUUCCUGGAGAGUUAAAACACAGUUACUAGCACUAAAAACAUUAAAAGUGCUGCGCGCUGGCCUCAAUGACUGGUACAUUGGAGAAGCUAUGCAGCAGCAUCCUUUUCUGUGGUGGGCAGGGCAGGAGAUGAACCAUAGGAGCCAAAAGUCAGACAAACAGAAGAAGGCACACCAAGCCUGAACCCUCCGGACAACAGCAGAGUUACCAGCUGAGGGAUGUCCCUGGAGGUUUCUGACCCAUGAGAGGCCCCCUCACCCUCCUUCACCCUCCUCCUACCACCAAGCUCUCCAGCAGUCAUGGACUUAUUCCUCCCCGUUUUUACUGGACACCAUGUUUCAGGCCAAUCUGGUCACCUGUAGUCUGGUGGCAUCUCUACCCCUACUGUCCAGUAGGUGGGAUGUGGCUGGGAUGGACAGUCCAGAUUCUACUAACAGGCAACUCUGAACAAACACCCUCCCUGGAAACAAUAUUAUAUUUGAUGGUUAGAUUCUUUAGCAAACCUAUUACAUUAUUCGAUGUCAGCUAACCUAUUGGUUUGAUCAUCUUUUCCAGCUGCUCUAGGGGCCUAACCACCAUGGAUAACCUGGUCUCUAAAGGAAAAUACAUUCCAGGUUGCAAACAACCAACUGACAACCUUUUGGAAUAUGAUCUCCUUAUACACUGGGGCUGCCUGUGCCUAAACACAGUAGAUUUCCCUCCUGUGCGUAUUUCAUCAGCCCCACUUCCAAUAAGUAACAUUAAGUAAAUUAGGGAUUGACAGUAUUCUGUGUUACAAUAACUAGAGAACAGUUCUAAGUCCAAAGUGUGGAACUGGCACUGUUCACUAGUAUAGAGAUCCUACCUACCAAAGGAAAACGUGCUGCUCCCCAUGCCUAGGGUAUAGUAUUCUUUAAUCUACUAAUUUAGCAGAAAAACUUCCAUAGCACUUGACUGUGCUGUUUAAAUUCGACCUAACAUCUGUGAUACAUGUAUUUUUGGCUACCAAUUAACUAUUCUGAAUAAGAAUAAGAGCAGUAUACUUUACAGCUAAUCUCACACAAAGGAUGUAACUAAUCAGUGAUAUUUGACGAAUUAUGGUAGGGUCUAUUAUAUUCAGUCAACAACAAAUUUAGAGAAACAUACAAAGGUUUUUAAAAAUAUGGGUGGUGUCACACAGAUCAACAACACUGUGCCUCCUCUAAAUAAAUCUAUUUUAAAUAAAUAUUCCUUGUAUUGACACAUGAAACCCAGAGGCCCAAAAAUAUCACUACACAUCCCAGUUAAUGAUAAGGUUCUAAAUUGACUUUGUGAGGGUAAAAUGAAUUGCUAUAAAGUAACAAGGAAAAUAGAAAGUAGCAUAAUAUAGCUUGCAAACUAAAUUAUGUAUUUUUAAAGGUACAGUCAUCCCACUACCUGGCUAUUUCAUUACUUGGUGCUCUAGACAAGCUCCCAAGAACUGACUGGAUCUUGGCUUGUUCUGUUUCUGUCAUUGCUAAUAUAAUAUGGAAAACAUUGCUGAAAAGAACAGAGAUGGCCAUGGAUAUGGCUAGGUUAGGUAUUCAUAUCCAAAUAUCUGAACUCUAACCUAAUGUGGAUAUGAUUCUGUAGCAUUAUAUUAAAAGCUAUGAUGAUGCAAUGCAGGAAAUAACCUUUCAUUCUCCCCCCUAGAGGAUCACGACAGGUGCUUCAAUGCCUGCCUUAUCUAUGGGACAGUAGUGUGAUUCUCAGUGAGAGUGAAGGCCUUUGGGGAUUUGAGUCAGGAAGGGAACAUGGCUAAGUGCCUGGAAACUCUGCCAACAGUCUGCGGUUAGAUUCUACUUGUCUCUGGAUAAGAAAUCUGUGCUCAGUGAACUUAUGUGUUUGGAAAAUUUAACCAGAAUAUAGAGGAAGCAUAAGUCCUGUUUCAAGAGACCAGCUCACGGAGCAUGCACAUUUCUCACCAUAGGCAAGCUAUGGACAAUUCAAUCACAUGGGAUGGCCCCACUUAGGGGAAUGCAGUUCUGGGUUUCCUUGCUAUCCCUAUUCUUUUUCAGCUACAAACUCUCUUCUUUUUCAGUCUCUUCAGUUUCCUUGUGCUCCCUUUAGGAGAGGGACAAGGGUAAGAGUACCAGGCAACUCUGUCCUCCUGCAUGGACAGUUGAGACGGGCAGUAAUGGCACAGUCCUUGGUUGGGGAAGAGAAGAGGAGACAGCACAGACACUGAGACCCCCUUGUCUUCCUCAUCUGGGGGAAGGAAGGUACUCAGUGAUUCUGUCAGAAGCUCUUCACAAAGACUAUCUCUGAGGGUUUUUUUUUUUUUUUUUUCACAAGACUAGAUGGAGAAUUAAUGAAGAAGAAAUAGAAAUGAGGCUUAUUUAAGGUACAAAAUUCUUGUAUUUGUAAUAACCUAGAUUUAUAGAUAUAAAACAAGUCUUUUAAAGACUUCCCUAAAAUACUCAAUAUAAAACAGGAGUUACUUAUCCU